rnacentral:rRNA from 1 species
UACGAAGGGGGCUAGCGUUGCUCGGAAUCACUGGGCGUAAAGGGUGCGUAGGCGGGUCUUUAAGUCAGGGUGAAAUCCUGGAGCUCAACUCCAGAACUGCCUUUGAUACUGAAGAUCUUGAGUUCGGGAGAGGUGAGUGGAACUGCGAGUGUAGAGGUGAAAUUCGUAGAUAUUCGCAAGAACACCAGUGGCGAAGGCGGCUCACUGGCCCGGUACUGACGCUGAGGUGCGAAAGCGUGGGGAGCAAACAGG